rnacentral:rRNA from 1 species
UUACCCUACGGGACGCAGCAGUGAGGAAUAUUGGUCAAUGGACGGAAGUCUGAACCAGCCAUGCCGCGUGCAGGAUGACGGCUCUAUGAGUUGUAAACUGCUUUUGUAUUAGGGUAAACACCCCUACGUGUAGGGGCUUGAAAGUAUAAUACGAAUAAGGAUCGGCUAACUCCGUGCCAGCAGCCGCGGUAAUAUGGAGGAUCCAAGCGUUAUCCGGAUUUAUUGGGUUUAAAGGGUGCGUAGGCGGAAUAUCAAGUCAGCGGUAAAAAUUCGGGGCUCAACCCCGUCGUGCCGUUGAAACUGAU